rnacentral:rRNA from 1 species
CAGGGAAUCUUGCACAAUGGGCGAAAGCCUGAUGCAGCGACGCCGCGUGGGGGAUGAAGGCCUUAGGGUCGUAAACCCCUUUCAGCAGGGACGAAAAUGACGGUACCUGCAGAAGAAGCCCCGGCCAACUACGUGCCAGCAGCCGCGGUAAGACGUAGGGGGCGAGCGUUGUCCGGAUUUAUUGGGCGUAAAGAGCUCGUAGGCGGUUGCGUAAGUCGGAUGUGAAAACUCAGGGCUCAACCCUGAGACGCCAUCCGAUACUGCGCUGACUUGAAUCCAGUAGGGGAGUGUGGAAUUCCUGAUGUAGCGGUGAAAUGCGCAGAUAUCAGGAGGAACACCCAUGGCGAAGGCAGCACUCUGGGCUGGUAUUGACGCUGAGGAGCGAAAGCAUGGGUAGCGAACAGGAUUAGAUACCCAGGUAGUCCCUGAGCGGGCUGGCAAGGCGCAU